AUUACAGAACAGUACAUACGAACGAAAUCUGUUUCUACAUUGCCCUCGUGUUCGUAAAAUAUUUGGAAGUUCGCUGUACCUGGAUUGCUUAUCUUUUGUGACAAAGUUUUGUCUUUAUUUUGAAAUUUUUACAUCUUAUUUCUUUACGUGUGCCAGUCAGUGUCUCAGCCGCUCAAAUCCCAAUCGGAUUAACGAUUUGUCCAUACACUGCUUGGAAAUUCAGGACUACAUAAUCUGUUUAGAAUGUUCCCAUCAAUUUCCAAGUCUAUCACAAGAGGAAGCAUUUGGUGAAGGCAGGACGAGGCGAAGGGAGGAGAAAGGGACUUCCACACUAGCUCUGUGGCUUGUAACCUGGAGGUGCCGGGGUUUACUACUCUUGUAAAAAUAAUGAAUGAAGACUGGGAAGAAACAUACACAAGAAGGCAGUAGUGGAUGCUGCUGGAUGGUCCUUAUUUCCAAGCAGCCUCCCUCUUUAUCCUGACGACAGAGCUUUACCUCGGUCAGGUCACCCGAAUAUCGAGUUUCACCUUCUGAACGUCGCAGACCCAAGGGAUACAAAGUCUGUUACAUGACAGGAAGUGUACGGACCGAUAAACUGGACCUCGUGCAGUGGCGGCUUGUCGCCUCGUAAACGUUGUAGAAAUGGUCACUUGUUCACGACCACAGUCAGAUGUCUGAGGUUUUUAUUGCUGAGCGAGCUGGCAUGAAAAAUAGUAAAUUCGUGUUCAAUUCGAACUGUG